GGUCCCUCCCCAGCUGUGGGCUCAGAGGCAGAGCUCUGGGGUGUCUCCACCAUGGCCUGGACCCCUCUCCUGCUCCCCCUCCUCACUCUCUGCACAGGAUCUGUGGCCUCCUCUGCACUGACUCAGCCGUCUACGGUGUCUGUGGUCCUGGGACAGACAGCCAGGAUCACCUGCCAGGGAGGAGAUUUAAAAACCUAUGCAGCUCACUGGUACCAACAGAUGCCAGGCCAGAGUCCUGCACUGCUCAUCUAUGGUGACAGGAGAAAGGCCUCAGGGGUCUCUGACAGAUUCUCUGGCUCCAGCUCAGGUGGAACAGCCGCCCUGACCAUCACUAGGGCCCAGGCUGAGGAUGAGGCUGAGUAUUACUGUCAUUCAGCGGACAGCAGCGGUAAAUAUCCCACAGUGACACAGGAGAAUGGGGAACCCUCCAGGUACUGCCCCCAGGGCUCAGCCCCACACAACCAGGGAGCAGCCUGGCCUGAACUUCAGCUCAGCACAGGGGGUGCUGCAGGGGGCUCUGUGACCUCCUCUGCACCUGCUCAGCCACCUGUGGUAUCUGUGGCCCCGGGAGAGCCGGCCAGGAUCAUCUGA